rnacentral:sRNA from 1 species
CACUGAUCCUCAGGCCCUUACGGUCUCUCUGCCCCGUCUUCUGUGAUAUCCCCAGAGCCUUUACAGUGCCAAUUAUGUUGAAGAUGCAUCAAUUGGGGUUCAAAAGCCUAAGGACAGUUUAUCUCUGCACACUGACCAGUUGUGAAUCCCUGUGGUGGUCUCUGACUGCUGCAAAAAGAAGAUUUUCUGGACCUGAGCUCUGCUGAAGGAGGCAUCACCUGGGUCGAAGGCCGGCAUUAACUUUAGAGCCAAGAACACACACCGUAAAGCUGGUGCACUGACUCGGUGUCUCUCCAGCUCAGCGGUUCUCCAGGGUGACUUCGCACCUUGGAUUUGUCCCCUCAUCCACAGAGACGUUUGGCCCCAUCUAAAGGCUGCUGGAUGGAAUCGAGGCAGCUGCCUGGCUCAUAAGCUGAAUGGAAGCUGGGAGCAAGAAUGGAGCGCUGAACACAGCUCCUUGCUGAGCGCAGAGAGCAGCUGCAGAGAGCCCAUUUCCUCGAUGGCAUCGGAGCCUGCUAUUUGGAACUCCAGCACAUACUGAAGAUAAGACAUCCAGCCUCUUGAACAACUACUGGAUUCUCGACUCUUCCGUUGGUAGACAGUCAUUGUUGGCCUAGCUGUGUCAAAGACUAUAAGUCAUUAUAAUAAAUUCCAUAUACAGUCGUU